AUACACGAGCAGAGGAAGGUGACGAAAAAAUCACCACAUCCGACGGCUGAGGUGAAAAGUGGGAUUGGGAAUUUACUGUGCAAGUGAAAUGGACGACCAGGAUUGAUGUGCCCCUCUCAGACCCCCUGGUUGAGAGGGUAGUCUAGCAUCAUUUAUAGGAGAAAUACGUGGAGCCGCCAUGGUGGUGACCAGUACAAAAAGUUUUUGUAUCGGAGAUGGAGGAGCAGCAGGACCUCGAGUGAGCAGUCUGUUCGCCAGAAGGACAUGACUUUUUUAAAGCAGGGAUCAAGUAGAUUGGAAGACUGCAUUUAGACUUCCACUUGAACAAGUAUUCGAAAUGCUUUAUGUUUGAACUUUGAAGGUUAGUUCUUCAUUAGGUUCAAUUCCCUACUCAUACGAAUAGUGACAAAUCGUAAAUAUAAAUUGUGUGAUUAUGCCCUGUAAUAGUUUUGUCCACCUAGGUAUGCCCUGUAAAUAGACUG